AUGGCUGAGUGGGAAGAGAGUGUUCAGGUGACCAGGGAUAUGUGUGAGAAGAUGAAGAACCAGGUGACCAGUGUGCAGGUGAAGGAGCAGGUGACAAGUGUGCAGUAUCGAAUUUGUUUAUUCGGUGAUGGACAGACAUCUGUUGUACCAAUCAGUUGGAUUUUUGAUGACCAUGGAACAUUGAAGUGUCGAUGGACAUCAUCACUCUCAAACAUUAAAAACAAUUCUCCACCAAACCCUAACUGGAAGGUUUAUGACAUUGUGAAGAUCGUUGGACCAUCAAUUGGAGACUAUGAUCAAGCAAAUCAAUACAUCUCAGAUUACACAACGGGGGUCUCAGCAGCAGAGGACUCAAUUAAUUACUUAUUCAAUGACAGACCCUGCAGUUGUGGAAUUACCUGA
rnacentral:lncRNA from 1 species